CAUAGGCCCUAUCUAACGGUAUCCUUAUGGUAUAGCAUUAUAUAGUAAGAAAAUAAUUUCUCACUAUAUAAAUGCUAUACCAUAAGGAUACCGUUAGAUGGGGCCUGUGGAUGCAAUAUUACCACGAUAUAAGCCAGAUCUGAUGUUCAUGAUUGAAAGAUAUUUGUCUUACAAGAUCUUAAAUGUAAAACAAACAAAAAGUCUCUGUAUUUCAUGUUUACAAUGUUUUACUCAAUUUCUGUAUAUAUAUUUAUUAAUAUUUGCAUUACUGUAAAAAGCACUGAAAACGACUUUUGGAUGGCUCGCUUCAAGGUCAAGGUCACACUUGUGGGUCAAAGGUCAUAUGACUGAUUUGUGUCCGCUCUGUAACUCUUGAACUGCUUGAAGGAUUUUUAAAAACAACUUGGGCACAAAUGUUCACCACAUCGAGACGAUAUGCAGAGCACAUGUUUCAGAUGGCUCGCUUCAAGGUCAAGGCCACACUUAGGGGUCAAAGGUCAUAGCUUCGGGCGUAUAUUGCUCCGCAUUGCGGUGCUCUUGUUUUCUCAUCUUAUCACUCACAUUAGUCAUAAAUCUUUGAAGUACACUCAAAACAAUUCCAGUGUCAGAUGAUGGAAAGAAAGAUUUUUAUCAAAUUUUCGAUAAAAAGGUUUGUGAUGGCUUCUGUAAGGGGAGAGAACUGUUUAGGAACUUGCUGUCACAGUUUUGAUAGUUCUGUAUAACUGCAGUCUUAUCAAUCUGCAUAAAAACAACAAUGUAGUAAAACACUACAUUUUGGCUUUAAUUUUUAUGUUACAAAGAGAUGAAAUAGCUAUCCAAAUAGUUGUUAUACAUAAUUACACAGUUUAAAAAGCACUACUUUCAUAACUAAACACGAACUUACACAGACAGAGCCACAAAGGGAGGUAAUCAAAAGCAUUUGAUUCAAUAAAAACCUUUUAAUAUGUUGAAAAAUAUCCAAACAUUUGACAAAUAAUAGAGAAAUAAAAUAUCGAAAAUAGGAUUUUAACAAGAAAUUAAUAUAUUGUUCGCUGAAAACAAAAACUGUGGCAACCAAAUUAUAAACAAAGGCAUUAUGAGCCAUUAACUAAGACCUAGUUGACUGUCAAGUCUGUAAACAUGUAUGGUACAAAAUGUACAGGUAUCGUUGUGGGCAAUGAAGGUGUAUAGCUACCAGUAUCAAACAGUCAUUUUUAUCAAAAAGGCUAACACCCUAAUACUUUUGAAACUGUUCUACACAGUACAUAUUGUUGAGCAAUCAAAAUGUUUACCAUGCUUUAUUUGUACGUUUACCAUUCUGCAGUUGUUUGUUUACCAAUAUCCAGCUACUUUUGGUGUCCAGUGACAUAUUUACUAUUCCACGUUUACAUAUUUUACUGUUUUCCACUCUCACUUGUUUAUGAGUUACAUUUUUACCAUUCUAGCAUUCUCCUGUUACAUAUCUACCACAAACUAGUGAAAUAAAGUUCUACAAUUACAUAGUUCAUAUUCUCUAGUUACAACGCUACAUUCUUCAGUUACAUGAUGAUCCAGUUCCGUAUUUACCAUUCUGCAGUUACCUAUUUACUGUUUUCAGGUAUAUAAUAACUGUUCUCAAGUUACUUUUUUCAAGGACAUAUUUACUGUUCUCCACUUACUGAUUUCCCAUUUUCAAGGACAUAUUUACUGUUCUCAAAUUACUUUUUUCCCGUUUUCAAGGACAUAUUUACUGUUCUGCAGUUAUUGAUAUCCAGUUUUCAAGGUCAUAUUUACUGUUCUCCACUUACUGAUUUCCCAUUUUCAAGGACAUAUUUACUGUUAUCCAGUUACUGAUUUCCCGUUUUCAAGGUCAUAUUUACUGUUCUCCACUUAUUGGUUUCCCGUUUUCAAGGACAUAUUUACUGUUCUCCAGUUACUGAUUUCCCGUUUUCAGGGACAUAUUUACUGUUAUCCAGUUACUGAUUUCUCGUUUUCAAGGUCAUAUUUACUGUUCUCAAGUUACUUUUUUCCCGUUUUCAAGGACAUAUUUACUGUUCUCCACUUACUGAUUUCCCGUUUUCAAGGUCAUAUUUACUGUUUUCAAGUUACUUUUUCCCGUUUUCAAGGACAUAUUUACUGUUCUCAAGUUACUUUUUUCCCGUUUUCAAGGACAUAUUUACUGUUCUCCAGUUACUGAUUUCCAGUUUUCAAGGUCAUAUUUACUGUUCUCCACCUACUGAUUUCCCAUUUUCAAGGACAUAUUUACUGUUAUCCAGUUACUGAUUUCUCGUUUUCAAGGUCAUAUUUACUGUUCUCCACUUAAUGAUUUCAAUGGUUUAGUUUACCACCCUCCAGUUACAUAUAUAUUUACCGCACUGCAGUUACAUAUUCACCAUGCUCCAGUUAAAUAUUUAUCAUUCGCUAGAGCUAUAUCGAUAUUUAACAUUUUUAUCUGGUAAUAUUUAUUAAAAGUUUUGCCCUGA